rnacentral:rRNA from 1 species
GACGAACGCUGGCGGCGUGCCUAAUACAUGCAAGUCGAGCGCUGAAGCUUGGUACUUGUACCUACUGGAUGAGCAGCGAACGGGUGAGUAACGCGUGGGGAAUCUGCCUUUGAGCGUGGGACAACAUCUGGAAACGAAUGCUAAUACCGCAUAAAAACUUUAAACACAAGUUUUAAGUAUGAAAGAUGCUAUUGCAUCACUCAAAGAUGAUCCCGCCUUGUAUUAGCUAGUUGGUGAGGUAAAGGCUCACCAAUGCGAUGCUACAUAGCCGACCUGAGAGGGUGAUCAGCGACAAUGGGAAGGAGACACGGCCCCAGACCCUACGGGAGGUAGCAGUAGGGGAACUUGGGCAAGGGACGAAAGGCUGACCGAGAAACGCCGCAUGACUGAAGAAGGUUGUCGGAUCGUAAAACUCCGUUGAUAGAGAAGAACGUUGGUGAGAGUGGAAAGCUCCUAAAGUGACGGUAACUACCCAGAAAGCGACGGCUAACUACGUG